AGUGAACGCUGGCGGUAGGCCUAACACAUGCAAGUCGAACGGCAGCACAGUAUGAGCUUGCUCUUACGGGUGGCGAGUGGCGGACGGGUGAGGAAUACAUCGGAAUCUACUUUUUCGUGGGGGAUAACGUAGGGAAACUUACGCUAAUACCGCAUACGACCUACGGGUGAAAGCAGUGGAUCUUCGGACCUUGCGCGAUUGAAUGAGCCGAUGUGGGAUUAGCUAGUUGGCGGGGUAAAGGCCCACCAAGGCGACGAUCCGUAGCUGGUCUGAGAGGAUGAUCAGCCACACUGGAGCUGAGACACGGUCCAGACUCCUACGGGAGGCAGCAGUGGGGAAUAUUGGACAAUGGGCGCAAGACUGAUCCAGCCAUACAGCGUGGGUGAAGAAGGCCUUCGGGUUGUAAAGCCCUUUUGUUGGGAAAGAAAAGCAGCAGGUUAAUACCCCGCUGUUCUGACGGUACCCAAAGAAUAAGCACCGGCUAACUUCGU
rnacentral:rRNA from 1 species